rnacentral:rRNA from 1 species
CCUACGGGGGGCAGCAGUGGGGAAUAUUGGACAAUGGGGGGAACCCUGAUCCAGCCAUGCCGCGUGUGUGAAGAAGGCCCUCGGGUUGUAAAGCACUUUCAGUGAGGAAGAACGCCUGGUGGUUAAUACCCAUCAGGAAAGACAUCACUCACAGAAGAAGCACCGGCUAACUCCGUGCCAGCAGCCGCGGUAAUACGGAGGGUGCGAGCGUUAAUCGGAAUUACUGGGCGUAAAGCGCGCGUAGGUGGCUUGAUAAGCCGGUUGUGAAAGCCCCGGGCUCAACCUGGGAACGGCAUCCGGAACUGUCAAGCUAGAGUGCAGGAGAGGAAGGUAGAAUUCCCGGUGUAGCGGUGAAAUGCGUAGAGAUCGGGAGGAAUACCAGUGGCGAAGGCGGCCUUCUGGACUGACACUGACACUGAGGUGCGAAAGCGUGGGUACCAAACAGGAUUAGAUACCCUUGUAGUC